rnacentral:lncRNA from 1 species
UUCGUUUCUUAGGGGAUCCCUUUAACCAACCCAAUGAAAAAAAAACCCUAACUAGAAACUUUUUUUUUUAGACUUUUGGCUGCGUAUUGAGCACUUGGCCGCGGGGACAAAUUUGUAUGUUCGACAGCUUGCAAGCGUGCAUGACAAUACAGGUAAUUUUGCGGUCGCUUCGCAUGUGUGAAAAGGCAAUCUUUCAAGGAGGUUGGACAAAAGAGUUAUUGGACGAGGUUGAAACAAUUCCAAAAUGGCGAAAUGACAGUUUUUCCAUAGCAUGAAUCGUUACGAUAACAUUAGUAACUUCAAUAUGAUGUUAUUAGUCAAUUGAGCUACAGUCUGAGGACACAAUCAUAGAGAAAGUCAUAUUCACGGUUAAUCAAACAUUCUUAUGUGCGAUAUAAACAGGGACCUCUGUACAUCGUGAUACCGUGCUAUUCGAAGUGGAAUCUUGUUGUUUCAGCGUGAUCGUCAAAAUGAAAUGAAUAAAACGAUAUAUCUUGAAUAUUUCACAAAG